rnacentral:snoRNA from 1 species
UUGCAAGUGUCCAUUACGCUGUGGCCACUGCCUCAGAACGUUUAGUUUAACUUGCGAAAGAAAAAUGACAUCUCGAAGACGGAAAUAUUAUUCUUAAAAUUUCCGUUCAAGAUUGGCAAACAAAA